CCUAUAAAAGGAAUCAUACGAUAUGUGGCCUUCUGUGACUGGCUUCUUUGACAAAAGCUAUAGAAUGAACAUCAACGCAGCUUUAGAAAGACUUGGAGUAGGGGCGCCAGGACCAACGAUCACUAGCUGCCCGAGUACCAAAAAAUUAUGCUUCCGAAAUCUCUUGAUGUCGAUUCCGCACGAAGAGCAAUUGAGCUGCCCCACGUGUGCCACUCACGGCAGAAGCCCUUUUUGCUUUCGUAGACACAAAAGUAGAGUGGCAGUGUUGGCGAAUCCCUCUUUUGGUAAAGGUGAAGAAAUCUAUGCAAUUUCCUAGUCUAUGUUCCCGACGUUGAGAUGGGAAUUGCAAGACCUUGUGAGCCAAACGGAAGUCUUCACAAGAAGACUCUAUGAUUUGUCGUUUCCUUUUUUAUUUAGAAAUAAAGGCAUGGACGUGAGUUGCUAUGCAAAUAUGCGCAGUGCUUGCUGGGAAGCUGCUGGCGGGCCGAGGGAGCGGCGGGGACAAGCGGUUGCUGGAGGGAACCGUGGAGCUCUAGCCGCGUGCUGUGGCAGGGCGUCACUCCUGUGGUUCGCUGAUGCGGAAGACCCGCUUCUCGGCGGCUAUGGGUACUUAUCUGGGGAAGACACGAAUCUCACCCUAUUAAAAUUGAAAAUGCACGAACUUGUGCCACUCCUAGCCAUCCCUGAAGCGGCCGCAGCACGCGAGCACUGUGGGUAGCGGAUCACCAUAAGAGCGAAAAACUGGGAGCAACCUGAUCUUCACCUACACAACGGAUUAGCAGAAUGUGGUGUGUUCGUAACGUAGAAUGCUAUCUGCUGCACUUCCAAGGAGUGAAUUAGACAUCAAAAAACAGUGAUAAGAGUUGCAGAAUAAGGUACAGCAUGAUACCAUGAACGUUAAAAAAAAAAAAAAAAAGCAAUACUGCACUUGGAAUGAUUGAAGUAGAUCUUUAUCAACAAAUAUUUUAAAACGUGAGUGAAGGUGUUGAUUAGGGUACCACAUGAUACCAUUAAUGUAAUAAAGAGCACACAAGUGUGCACAUAAAACCCGGUGCUAUAUAUUUUCUACGGCCACAUAUUUGUAUGUCUUAACUUUUUUAAAAAAAGAUCUGGAAGAACACACAUCAAUGAUCACCCCGGGAAGGAGGGAGGGGAUCAGGAUGGGGACCUGACACACACAAGACUUUAGA